rnacentral:rRNA from 1 species
AUUGAACGCUGGCGGCAUGCCUUACACAUGCAAGUCGAACGGCAGCACGGGAGCAAUCCUGGUGGCGAGUGGCGAACGGGCGAGUAAUAUAUCGGAACGUGCCCAGCCGUGGGGGAUAACGCAGCGAAAGCUGUGCUAAUACCGCAUACGAUCUAUGGAUGAAAGCGGGGGAUCGCAAGACCUCGCGCGAUUGGAGCGGCCGAUAUCAGAUUAGCUAGUUGGUGGGGUAAAGGCCCACCAAGGCGACGAUCUGUAGCUGGUCUGAGAGGACGACCAGCCACACUGGAACUGAGACACGGUCCAGACUCCUACGGGAGGCAGCAGUGGGGAAUUUUGGACAAUGGGCGCAAGCCUGAUCCAGCAAUGCCGCGUGCAGGAUGAAGGCCUUCGGGUUGUAAACUGCUUUUGUACGGAACGAAACGGCCCUUUCUAAUACGGGGGGCUAAUGACGGUACCGUAAGAAUAAGCACCGGCUAACUACGUGCCAGCCGCCGCAGUAAUAC